rnacentral:lncRNA from 9 species
GGCUCGGAUCCAGCAUUGUUGUGGCUCUGGCAUAGGCUGGUGGCUACAGCUGCAAUUAAAACCCUAACCUGGGAAUCUCCAUAUGCCACAGGUGUGUCCCUAGAAAAGACAAAAAAAAAGACAAAAAAAGUGGUAGCAUCCUCAAUGUAACAAAACCGAGUACAUGCCUAGCACCCAACUGGAUCCCUCUGUGUCAUCCCUGUGGGAAGUGGGGGUCAGGAUUACCAAUACAGUAUUAUUCUCAUAUUAGCUGUGCCAUAAGUAAUAAAAUCUUUUGGUGCUGGAAAAAAAAAUUCUCAAUUAACCUAACUUUACAACUAAAGGAAACGGAAAAAAAGCAAACUAAGCCCAGUGUUGGCAGAAGGAAAUAAAUAAUAAAGAUUAGAGCAGUUAUAAAAGUAACAGAAACAACCAGAAAUAGAUAAACAAUAUUGAGGAGGUUUUUUUCUUUUGGAAAAGAUAAAACCAAAUGGACAAACUGUUAGCUCGACUAAGAAAAAGAUGUGUGUGUGUGUGUGUGUGUGUGGCAUUACAAUGAUGCCACAGGUGUGCAAAGUACAAUAAGAGACUAUUAACUAUUUUCUUUCUUUUUUUUUUUUUUUAGGACUGCACCCACAGAAUAUAGAAGUUCCCAGGCUAGGGGUCGAAUCAGAGCUGUAGCCACUGGCCUACACCACAGCCACAGCAUCGCCAGAUCCGAGCCCCAUCUGCAACCUACACCACAGCUCAUGGCAAUGCUGGAUCCUUAACCCACUGAGCAAGGGCAGGGAUCGAACUGGCAACUUCAUGGUUCCUAGUCGGAUUCAUUAACCACUGAGCCAUGACAGGAACUCUUUACUGGUGAAUUAUACCAAAUAUUUAAGGAGAAAUUAAAGCCUAUACUUCUCAAAUACUUCUAAACAUUUAAAGAGGAAGCAACACUUUCAAGCCAUCUUAUGAGGCAUUACCCCAAUAUCAAAACUACACAGGGCACUAUGAGAAAGGUACAGGUCAAUAUCCCUGAAAAACAGAUGAAGUAUACUCAAAAUACUGGCCAACUAAAUUCACCAGCACAUUAAAAGGGUCAUUUACCAUGAUCAAAUGGGAUUUAUGCCUGGAUGCAAAGAUGGCUCAACAUAUACCAAUCAAUGUGAUUCAUCACAUUAAGAGAAUAAAGGGAAAAUAUGAUCCUAUUAGUAUAUACAGAAAAAUUUUUGACCAAAUCCAGCUCUCAUGAUAAAGACUGCCAAAAGAGCUCCUUGGUGGCUCAGCAGGUUAAGGAUAUGGCAUUGUCACUGCUAUGGCACGAGUUUGAUCUCUGGCCUGGGAACUUCUGCAUACCAUAGCAGAACAAAAAAAAAAAAAAAAAAAAAAAAAAAAAAAGACUGUCAAAAAAUUAGUUACAGGAGGAAUACACCUCAACACAGUAAAAAUCAUAUGACAAGCUCGAAGCGAACAACCUAUUUUGAAUCCUGAAAGCUAUUCUUCUAAGAUUCAGACCAAGGCAAAGUUACCUGUUGCUACCCUUUUCAUUCAACAUGGUACUGAAAGCUCCGAGCCAGAGCAGCUAGGUGAGAAAAGUAAAUAAAUCCACAUCGUAAAGGUAAAGCAAAAUUUUCAGUGUUUGCAGAUGUCAUGUUCUUAUACUUCUAAGAAAACUCAUGGAGUAAGCUACAGGGUACAAAAUCAACAUGCAGAAAUUGUUUGUGUUUUGGAGUUUCCAUCAUGGCUCAGUGGUUGAGGAACCCAACUAGUAUCCAUGAGGACUUGGUGAUUGCCAGAGGGGUGUGGUGAGGGAUGAGCAAAAUGGGGAAGGGGGGACAAACGAUAUCAACUUCCAGCUGUAAGAUAAGUAAGUCCUAGGGAUGCAGUGUACAGCAUUGUGACUUAUUAACAAUGCUAUAUUGUAUAUUUGAAAUGUCCUAAGAGAGAUCUUAAAAUACUUCAUCACAAGCAAAACAAACAAAAACUCUAUGUGGUGAUGUAUGUUAACUACUCUCACUGUGGUAAUCAUUUUGAAAUAUAUACAUAUUUCACACCCUUCUGUUUUAUGCCUAAAACUUAUACAAUAUUAUUUUAUUUAAUAAGUUUUAAAGUAAAUACCUUUUCAGAGUACUUCAAAUAUUUACACCUAGAAAUUUUAAAAUUACCUCUACAGAAAAGACAUAUGUGGAAUUAUUAUACCAUUAUAGCACAAAAUUUAUUAAUGUAAUAGUCAUGCUAUUCAUUUAAAGGAGGGGAAAGAUUAUUAAAUUAUCAUAGGCAGUAUUUUAAAGUGUGAUAGAGUUAAACACAAUUAUUAUUAAAGGAAAAGAAAACAAACUGCUAGACUGAUGUAUAUUCCCUGUAAUAAAACCUUAUAGGAGGGAGUUCCCUUUGUGGCUCAGUGGUUAACGAUCCCAAGUAGGAUCCAUGAGGAUGCAGGUUUGAUCCCCUGCCUCACUCAGUGGGUCAAGGAUCCAGCGUUGCCAUGAGCUGUGGUGUAGGUCGCAGACUUGCUUGGUGUUUCUGUGGCUAUGGUGUAGGUUGGCAGCUAUAGCUCCAAUUUGAACCCUAGCCUGGGAACUUCCAUAUGCCUCGGGUGUGACCCUAAAAAACAAAAACAAAAACAAAAGCAAAAAAAAAAAAAAAAA